UACGGAGGGGGUUAGCGUUGUUCGGAAUUACUGGGCGUAAAGCGCGCGUAGGCGGAUCAGAAAGUAUGGGGUGAAAUCCCGGGGCUCAACCUCGGAACUGCCUCAUAAACUACUGGUCUAGAGUUCGAGAGAGGUGAGUGGAAUUCCGAGUGUAGAGGUGAAAUUCGUAGAUAUUCGGAGGAACACCAGUGGCGAAGGCGGCUCACUGGCUCGAUACUGACGCUGAGGUGCGAAAGUGUGGGGAGCAAACAGG
rnacentral:rRNA from 1 species